UAAGGAAUAUUGGUCAAUGGACGCAAGUCUGAACCAGCCAUGCCGCGUGGAGGAUGAAGGUCCUCUGGAUUGUAAACUUCUUUUAUCUGGGACGAAACACUUCUUUUCUAAGAGGCCUGACGGUACCAGAUGAAUAAGCACCGGCUAACUCCGUGCCAGCAGCCGCGGUAAUACGGAGGGUGCAAGCGUUAUCCGGAUUCACUGGGUUUAAAGGGUGCGUAGGUGGGUAUGUAAGUCAGUGGUGAAAUCCCCGAGCUUAACUUGGGAACUGCCAUUGAUACUAUAUAUCUUGAAUACCGUAGAGGUAAGCGGAAUAUGUCAUGUAGCGGUGAAAUGCUUAGAUAUGACAUGGAACACCAAUUGCGAAGGCAGCUUACUAUGCGGUGAUUGACACUGAGGCACGAAAGCGUGGGUAGCAA
rnacentral:rRNA from 1 species